rnacentral:misc_RNA from 1 species
CCAAUAGCGUAUAUUAAAGUUGUUGCAGUUAAAAAGCUCGUAGUUGAACUUCGGGGUUCACCCAUUGGUCAGGCUUAAUUGUCUGCACUGGUGAGAUGAAUCUCUACCUUCUGAGGAACUUUCAUGUCAUUAAUUUGGUGUGAUUGGAAAUCAGGAUUGUUACUUUGAAAAAAUUAGAGUGUUUAAAGCAGGCUAACGUCUGAAUACAUUAGCAUGGAAUAAUGAAAUAGGACGGACUGAUUCUAUUUCGUUGGUUUCUAGGAUCACCGUAAUGAUUAAUAGGGAUAGUUGGGGGCAUUAGUAUUCAAUUGUCAGAGGUGAAAUUCUUGGAUUUAUUGAAGACUAACUACUGCGAAAGCAUUUGCCAAGGAUGUUUUCAUUAAUCAAGAACGAAAGUUAGGGGAUCGAAGACGAUCAGAUACCGUCGUAGUCUUAACCAUAAACUAUGCCGACUAGGGAUCGGACGAAGUUAAUUUUAUAAUGACGCGUUCGGCACCUUACG